GGCUCCGUAGCGUAAUGGCUAACGCAUUGCUUUCCGGCUAAAUCCCGAGAUUGGCAAAGAUUGUGGGUUCGAGUCCCGUCGGGGUCG
rnacentral:tRNA from 1 species